CACAGUUUCCUCUGAUAACGCAAAAAAAAAAAAAAAAAAAGUUCCAAAUUCAUUAAGAGAGAGAAUUUUAAAAAGGUGCAAAUUGGAAAACCAGAGAGAGAGAGAGAAAACAAGUGGCUUGCUAGCUCGCCGAACUUUGUUCAACAAUGGCGGUUUCUUAGGGUUUGAGCUUCUAUUUGAUCGGAGAAAAAAAAGUCUCUCGUCUAGAUCGCGAAUCUUCCGAUGGAAAUGCCCGGCGCUAGAAGAUCCAAUUACACUCUGCUUAGUCAAUUCCCCGACGACCAGGUCUCCGUCUCCGUCACCGGAGCUCCUCCGCCUCACUAUGACUCCUCCUUGUCGAGCGCCAGCAACAACAACAGCGGCAACAACGGAAAAUCCAAAUCCGGAUUCGAUUGGGAUCAUCAUCCUAGCGGCGGCGGUGGUGAUCACAGGCCGCCGAAUCGGGCUGGGAAUAUGUACUCUUCGUCGCUUGGUUUGCAGAGGCAAUCGAGCGGGAGCAGCUUCGGCGAGAGCUCGCUGUCCGGGGAUUACUAUGUGCCUACGCUCUCCGCGGCGGGUAACGAGAUCGAAAUGGUUGGGUUUCCUCAAGACGUCGGGUUAGGUGAUUCGAGGAUGCAGAUGGGGAUGGAUUCGGCUGGAGGUUCGUCGUCUGGGAAGAGCUGGGCGCAGCAGACGGAGGAGAGUUAUCAGCUGCAGCUUGCGUUGGCGUUGAGGCUUUCCUCGGAGGCUACUUGCGCUGAUGAUCCGAACUUUCUAGAUCCUGUACCGGACGAGUCUGCUUUGCGGACUUCGCCGAGUUCUGCUGAAACCGUUUCUCAUCGCUUCUGGGUAAAUGGAUGCUUAUCGUACUAUGAUAAAGUUCCUGACGGGUUUUAUAUGAUUGAUGGUCUGGAUCCAUAUAUUUGGACCUUAUGCAUUGAUCUAAAUGAAAGUGGCCGCAUCCCUUCAAUUGAAUCGUUGAGAGCUAUUGAUUCUGGUGUUGACUCUUCGCUGGAAGCCAUCUUAGUCGAUCGGCGUGUUGAUCCAGCCUUCAAGGAACUUCACAAUAGAGUCCACGACAUCUCUUGUAGCUGCAUAACCACAAAAGAGGUUGUGGACCAGCUGGCAAAACUAAUCUGCAAUCGUAUGGGAGGUUCAGUUAUCAUGGGGGAAGAUGAGUUGGUUCCCAUGUGGAAGGAGUGCAUUAACGGUCUAAAAGAGUGCUUUAAAGUUGUGGUUCCCAUAGGUAGCCUCUCUGUAGGACUCUGCAGACACCGAGCUUUACUCUUCAAAGUACUGGCUGACAUAAUAGAUUUACCCUGUCGAAUCGCAAAGGGGUGCAAAUAUUGUAAUAGAGACGAUGCUGCGUCGUGCCUUGUCAGGUUUGGGCUUGAUAGGGAGUAUCUUGUUGAUUUAGUUGGAAAACCAGGCCACUUGUGGGAGCCUGAUUCCUUGCUAAAUGGUCCCUCGACUAUCUCAAUUUCAUCACCUUUGCGGUUUCCCCGACCCAGGCCAGUUGAACCUGCGGUCGAUUUUAGGGAACUAGCCAAGCAGUACUUCACCGACAGUGAAUCUCUUAAUCUUGUUUUCGAUCCUGCAUCAGAUGAUAUAGGAUUCUCAAUGUUUCAUAGGGGUGGAGAAAAUGAUGGUUCGGCAGAAAAUGGGGGUGGAUCUGUGCCUCCCGGUGCUAAUAUGCCUCCACAGAACAUAAUGCGUGCCUCAAAUCAAGUCCAAGAUGCAGUACCUAUAAAUGCCCCACCAAUCAAUCAGCCGGUUGUGAACAGAGCAAACAGGGAUCUUGGACUCGAUGGUGAUGAUAUGGACAUCCCAUGGUGUGAUCUUAAUAUAAAAGAGAAGAUUGGAGCAGGUUCCUUUGGCACUGUUCAUCGUGCUGAGUGGCAUGGCUCGGAUGUUGCUGUGAAAAUUCUCAUGGAGCAAGACUUCCAUGCUGAGCGUGUCAAUGAGUUCUUGAGAGAGGUUGCAAUAAUGAAACGCCUUCGCCACCCGAAUAUUGUUCUCUUCAUGGGAGCUGUCACUCAACCUCCAAAUUUGUCAAUAGUGACAGAAUAUUUGUCAAGAGGUAGUUUAUUCAGACUUUUGCAUAAAAGUGGAGCAAGAGAGCAACUGGAUGAGAGACGCCGCUUGAGUAUGGCAUAUGAUGUGGCUAAAGGAAUGAAUUAUCUCCAUAAUCGCAAUCCUCCGAUUGUACAUAGAGAUCUAAAAUCUCCAAACUUGCUGGUCGACAAAAAAUACACCGUCAAGGUUUGUGAUUUUGGUCUCUCGCGGUUAAAGGCCAGCACGUUCCUUUCAUCAAAGUCGGCAGCUGGAACUCCCGAGUGGAUGGCACCAGAGGUCCUGCGGGAUGAGCAAUCUAAUGAGAAGUCAGACGUGUACAGCUUUGGGGUCAUCUUGUGGGAGCUUGCUACAUUGCAGCAACCAUGGGGUAAUUUGAAUCCUGCUCAGGUUGUAGCUGCGGUUGGUUUCAAGAAUAAACGGCUUGAGAUCCCUCGGAACCUGAACCCUCAAGUUGCAGCAAUAAUCGAGGGUUGUUGGACAAAUGAGCCGUGGAAGCGUCCAUCAUUUGCAACAAUUAUGGACUUGCUAAGACCAUUGAUCAAAUCAGCGGUUCCUCCACCCAACCGCUUGGAUCUGUGAAACACCGGCCCACUUGGAAACACGAUAUUAAUAAUUGAUGAUGUGCACAUAUACUCUCAGCAUUAUUUUGCUGCCCAGGAGGGAGACACUAGUUAAGAUAGCUGUAAGAUUGUUAAAAGUGUACAUGAUUAUUGUCACAGGGAAGGAAAAAAAGUAAAUCAAGUAGUAAGUGGAAACAGUAAGGGAUAUUCUAUUAUCUACCUCCGAGGGGUGUGAGCAAUAUAUUGUUGUAAGCCUUUUGUAGUAGUGACACUUUAAGCUAUCUUUUUUUGUCUAAUCCUUCAUGUGAUAUGUUUCUUUUAAGUUACCUUGUUGUACAUUUAAGCUACUAAAUUAGUAGCUCCUAGUAACUAAGAGAGUCCAAACCAAGAAAAAAGAGUCGUGUGUCAGUGUGGUUUUGCAAAUUCAGUAUGAUUCAUUGGAUUGUACAUUGUAUUUGUCAAGUGUGUAAUUCACACGAGAUUAUCAUGAGGAUUUGUGAUUGUAACUCGUAAUGCUAAAAGGUUGCUCAUGGUUUAA